rnacentral:rRNA from 1 species
GUGGGGAAUAUUGGACAAUGGGCGAAAGCCUGAUCCAGCAAUGCCGCGUGAGUGAUGAAGGCCUUAGGGUUGUAAAGCUCUUUUACCAGGGAUGAUAAUGACAGUACCUGGAGAAUAAGCUCCGGCUAACUCCGUGCCAGCAGCCGCGGUAAUACGGAGGGAGCUAGCGUUGUUCGGAAUUACUGGGCGUAAAGCGCACGUAGGCGGUUACUCAAGUCAGAGGUGAAAGCCCGGGGCUCAACCCCGGAACUGCCUUUGAAACUAGGUAACUAGAAUCUUGGAGAGGUCAGUGGAAUUCCGAGUGUAGAGGUGAAAUUCGUAGAUAUUCGGAAGAACACCAGUGGCGAAGGCGACUGACUGGACAAGUAUUGACGCUGAGGUGCGAAAGCGUGGGGAGCAAACAGGAUUAGAUACACUGGUAGUCC